UACGUAGGGGGCGAGCGUUGUCCGGAAUCAUUGGGCGUAAAGCGCGCGUAGGCGGCCCGGUAAGUCCGCUGUGAAAGUCCAGGGCUCAACCCUGGGAUGCCGGUGGAUACUGUCGGGCUCGAGUCCGGAAGAGGCGAGUGGAAUUCCUGGUGUAGCGGUGAAAUGCGCAGAUAUCAGGAGGAACACCGAUAGCGAAGGCAGCUCGCUGGGACGGUACUGACGCUGAGGUGCGAAAGCGUGGGGAGCGAACAGG
rnacentral:rRNA from 1 species